UACGUAGGGGGCAAGCGUUGUCCGGAAUCAUUGGGCGUAAAGAGCGCGUAGGCGGUCCGGUAAGUCGGUUGUGAAAGUCGGGGGCUCAACCCUCGGAUGCCGAUCGAUACUGUCGGGCUAGAGUCCGGAAGAGGAGAGUGGAAUUCCUGGUGUAGCGGUGAAAUGCGCAGAUAUCAGGAAGAACACCAAUGGCGAAAGCAGCUCUCUGGGACGGUACUGACGCUGAGACGCGAAAGCGUGGGGAGCGAACAGG
rnacentral:rRNA from 1 species